UACGGGGGGGGCAAGCGUUGUUCGGAAUUACUGGGCGUAAAGGGCUCGUAGGUGGCCAACUAAGUCAGACGUGAAAUCCCUCGGCUUAACCGGGGAACUGCGUCUGAUACUGGAUGGCUUGAGUUCGGGAGAGGGAUGCGGAAUUCCAGGUGUAGCGGUGAAAUGCGUAGAUAUCUGGAGGAACACCGGUGGCGAAGGCGGCAUCCUGGACUGACACUGACGCUGAGGAGCGAAAGCCAGGGGAGCAAACGGG
rnacentral:rRNA from 1 species